UUUUUUUUUAAAUUAGAUUUUAGAUCUAUAUCUAGACUUAGCUAUCACAAUGACUUGUUCAAUUAAAUGAAUCAUCUGAACAUGUUAAGAGGUGGGGAAGUUAACAACGUACACAAAUCAUUCGUAUAAUGUUUUAUAUGUUUCGGAUGUUCCUUCAGGACGACGGGGGAUGGGAGCGGGCAGGGUUUGUACCCGGGACCCUCGAUGAAUCUGAACGACAGUCCAGCGUGCAAACCGCACGCACCGGGCAGCCAUCCACGACCAGGCAGCCAUUCAAACAAUGAAUGACAAUUGAUCUAUAUUUGUUUUGAUAGUAUUCCUUCUUAUUUAGAUCGAUCUAAAAUUACUUAAUUCGAGAUCAUCUAAAAUUUAGAGCAUUUAAAGUUUAAAAAAAAAAGGAAAAGCGAAGACCAGAAAGUGAGGACUUAAAAUUAUAAAUGAUGGCUCCCCAUGUCUCAGAAGACAAUGGAUGCUCCCAUUAGAUCUAUAAAUACGAAUUAGAAAAAAAGAUGACUUCCGCUACAAGUUUUUAUUAUUGACGUCUGAAACUAACAUGACUAGCUAGCUCUAUUGACUAUUAGACUUUAAUUUACAGUCUGGUAUAUAGACGCUAGAUAUUUCAUCACGGUAAUCUAGAUUUAUAUAGUUACUAGAAUCUACUCUAGUAUUUCCUGAAUCAUUCAUAAAUUUCAUACAUUUAUUGUUUAUAAAUCGAUGGCGAUGAAGACCAUGUCAUGCGCAUGUCCAGGCCCCAUGGCAUAGGGGCAUACUACGGCAUAGGCAUAGCAUGAUGAUGAUGAUAUUAAUGAUAGCCCAGAUAGACUCACUGGCAAUAUAAGUUUAAAAGUUGUAAGUUACAAGUAACUACAGUGACUAACAGUGACAGUCUGAGUUAAGUUAAGAGUCAGAGACAAUCUCUUACACUCAUCAAUGAGUAACACUUACAGUGAGUCACAGAUUAAUUUAAUCAUUUAAUCUGUUUUUUGUGAUCUUUUGUGAAUCAACAACCCAUCAGAUUUCAGUAAUGGAGUAUCUGUUAGUUUCAAGGCGUCUACAAGCCAAGAAAGACUCUAAAUUUACAAGCAUCAAAGCCUGAGCCGUGUUGCUGUUUUAGAGUGGAGAGAAAAGGAAAGGUUAAGAAAAGCUGCAUACAGGGCCUAGUUAAGCCCACAUGAAGAAGCUUGGAUAAACAGAAAACGCAAAGAAAGAAAACAGCAAGCUAAUAGUCCACUUAAUGUAAUCUCAGCAGAGGUUGAUGAAUCACUAGGUACUGGAUUCCAGACUCCAGUGGCAAAAAGAAUGGCUGUUUCAAGGGCUUUGAUGAAAUUGCCUAGAUCACCCAAGAAAUAUGCUGCAGUUUUUGAUGGUCUCACACAAAUAUGCUCUCCAAGAAAAAGUAAAGCUGUCAAUGACAUACGCUUUCUGCGCCUACCUGAGAGAAGAAAGCUCAUCUUUCUAAACAACAUUAAAGAAAGUAUCAAAACCUAACUACACUCCACCAACAAAAAAAAAGUCAGAUGUCUAGUGCUCAUAGACAUGUACUCUGCAGUAUCCUUAGUAAGUACAAGAAACUUAGAGGUUGUGCUACUCAUUUCUAACAUUUUGGUCUUCCAAGAAGUUUUAUGUCCAAGUGCAAAUCAGAACAAAUUGCAAGAAAAAAAAUGAAGUGAUUGCAUUGCACAAAAUGCCUUGGAAACAAUAUUCAUUUUUUACAGUAGAGAGGAUGUCUCAAGAACUGAUCCCUCUCAAUCAUCUGUUAGUGCUCAAACAGGAAAACGUUUCAUGCAAAAGCUACUUAACAUAAGAUGCAGUCUUGCUUAUGUGAGUUCUGUUUGAAGAUUUUUCUUUAUAUAGAGGGCAUUAAUAAAUUUCUGAUCAAAAAAGGACACAGAGAGCUGACAUUAAAAAAAUCCAGCUUCAUCACUCGACGGUGAUGGUACACUGCGAAAGGUAACAAAGUGGCGACCAGUAAAUAAAGAAGGAUCUUUCAAUGACCUAGUGAGAGGUAUUACAUCUAACACUAUUGCUUACAGAAAUAGAAGCUGUUUCUGCUUUCCAUGCAGAAAUCCAUAUGGCAGUCAGUGCCUGCAUGAUGAAAUAUGUGGAUCUUGGAAGGUGUUCAAACUUCAGAAACAAAAUGUAGUGCAAUCUCAGUCAAAUCUUGAAGACUGUUUGGAUGUCAGUCCCAUAUGCUCAAAUUCAAAGGCCCAAACAAAUUCCUUCACUAAUCAAAAGUACAUUGUAAAUAGCUGUGUGAUUGUCAAGUAUGGGGAAAUAUUCUAUCCAGGUGUUGUGAUAGAAGUCCUGGAUGAUCAGCGCAGAAAUAAUUUUUUAAAAAGGCACAGACAGACCUGCCUACCGUUACGCAAAAUGCGUAUUCGUUACACAAAAUCUCCCAAAAAUGACAGUCAGUACGCAAAUACGCUUUCAACCCGUCGCGUUCUUCAUUUCGUAUCCUUCCC